rnacentral:rRNA from 1 species
CACGCUGUAAACGAUGAGUGCUAGGUGUAGGGGGUAUCGACUCCUUCUGUGCCGCAGCUAACGCAUUAAGCACUCCGCCUGGGGAUUACGGCCGCAAGGUUAAAACUCAAAGGAAUUGAC